UAAACACAUUGAAACGCGUUGAGCCCCCACCGUUUUCGUGAAGCUCUUUUUCAUUCUUUCAGAUCUACGAGGUUCUUUUCCUAUCUACUACUUCGUUCAUAGCAAAUAUCCCAUCAGUUUUUGGGAUCAAAACUGUGACCUAGAGAUUUGUUUGGUACUAAUAAUUUCUUUAAUUGUUUUAAACUAUGCAAAUUUCUUGUCGUUUUUAACCCAAAAAUUGAAGCCCCCAUCAAAAGCGUAUCUGCAAAAACAUGACAUACCAUUCAAAGCUCUACAUGUUGUUACUUAGAGAUGAGGUUGUGUUGAAGAUAAAUCAAUUUUUUCUUGAUGAAUUUUAAUUAGAAGAAAUGGAAAAACAAGAAAAGAUUUGGGCGAUAUGAAGUAUUUGGAGGCAAAUCUGUCACAAAGUAUGAAGACAAUGAAAUUGAAAAAUUAUUUUGGCCACAAAUAACAAUCUUUCUACGGCUGUCAGCUAUGUUAUAUCUCUAGAACUGGAGGUAAAAUGUAUUCUUUUAUUAGUUGUUUUAUAUGAUAACAAUCUAGCAAACAUAUUUAUAUUUAAGCACUAAAGUUGAAUUUGAAUUUUGUUUAUUCUACCAAACAAGUAAAGCCAAACUCUGGUACAAUCAUUAAAUAGGAAACCAAUGUAAUGUCUGUAUGCAAUGGUAUUUUUGUAGGUGUGGUUGUUCUCUUGAGAAUUGGUCUAUAAGACUACUUAAAAGUAAAACCAUUGGUCUAUUAGCCUACUAGAAAUAGAGCAUGCAGCCAUCACCGCAUAAAUGAUAAUAGAGCAUCAUAAUCCCUUGGUUCCCUUUUCACACCUUACCAUUGUGAAUUAUAACACCAGAUGAACAGGGGGCUAUUAGAACCACCAGAUGUUGUCGCAGGAGAAAUUUCAGAUGAAGUUUUAAUUUUUCUUCAUGGUAAACUUUUUAGUAUAAUAUUUAUUUAAUUUUGCAAUAGAUAUGGGUAUUUGCGGUCAUAUCUUGGGAUUGUGUUCUUCUGUAGGUAGCAUAUGUGAUUUUGUUGUUAGCUACUGUAGCUUCUAGUUGAUAAGAGUGACAAUGGUGAUUGUGUAAUUAUAUUAUUGAAAUGUUAA